UUCGAAGCAACGCGAAGAACCUUACCAGGUCUUGACAUCUUCUGACAAUCCUAGAGAUAGGACGUCCCCUUCGGGGGCAGAGUGACAGGUGGUGCAUGGUUGUCGUCAGCUCGUGUCGUGAGAUGUUGGGUUAAGUCCCGCAACGAGCGCAACCCUUGAUUUUAGUUGCCAGCAUUCAGUUGGGCACUUUAAGGUGACUGCCGGUGACAAACCGGAGGAAGGUGGGGAGGACGUCAAAUCAUCAUGCCCCUUAUGACCUGGGCUACACACGUGCUACAAUGGGCAGAACAAAGGGCAGGGAAACCGCGAGGUUAAGCCAAUCCCACAAAUCUGUUCUCAGUUCGGAUCGCAGUCUGCAACUCGACUGCGUGAAGCUGGAAUCGCUAGUAAUCGCGGAUCAGCAUGCCGCGGUGAAUACGUUCCCGGGCCUUGUACACACCGCCCGUCACACCACGAGAGUUUGUAACACCCGAAGUCGGUGAGG
rnacentral:rRNA from 1 species